UGGGGAAUUUUGGACAAUGGGCGCAAGCCUGAUCCAGCCAUGCCGCGUGCGGGAAGAAGGCCUUCGGGUUGUAAACCGCUUUUGUCAGGGAAGAAAUCUUCUGAGUUAAUACCUCGGGAGGAUGAUGGUACCUGAAGAAUAAGCACCGGCUAACUACGUGCCAGCAGCCGCGGUAAUACGUAGGGUGCAAGCGUUAAUCGGAAUUACUGGGCGUAAAGCGUGCGCAGGCGGCUUUGUAAGACAGAGGUGAAAUCCCCGGGCUCAACCUGGGAACUGCCUUUGUGACUGCAAGGCUUGAGUGCGGCAGAGGGGGGAUGGAAUUCCGCGUGUAGCAGUGAAAUGCGUAGAUAUGCGGAGGAACACCGAUGGCGAAGGCAAUCCCCUGGGCCUGCACUGACGCUCAUGCACGAAAGCGUGGGGAGCAAAACAGGAUUAGAUACCCUGGUAGUCCACGCCCUAAAACGAUGUCAACUGGUUGUU
rnacentral:rRNA from 1 species